UAGGGAAUCUUCCGCAAUGGGCGAAAGCCUGACGGAGCAACGCCGCGUGAGUGAUGAAGGUCUUCGGAUCGUAAAACUCUGUUAUUAGGGAAGAACAAAUGUGUAAGUAACUAUGCACGUCUUGACGGUACCUAAUCAGAAAGCCACGGCUAACUACGUGCCAGCAGCCGCGGUAAUACGUAGGUGGCAAGCGUUAUCCGGAAUUAUUGGGCGUAAAGCGCGCGUAGGCGGUUUUUUAAGUCUGAUGUGAAAGCCCACGGCUCAACCGUGGAGAGUCAUUGGAAACUGGAAAACUUGAGUGCAGAAGAGGAAAGUGGAAUUCCAUGUGUAGCGGUGAAAUGCGCAGGGAUAUGGAGGAACACCAGUGGCGAAGGCGACUUUCUGGUCUGUAACUGACGCUGAUGUGCGAAAGCGUGGGGAUCAAACAGG
rnacentral:rRNA from 1 species